CCCUCCCGCGCAUUCCAGGCGGGCAGUGUUGAAGAAACCAGUUUAUUGAAAAUAAUCGUCUAUCUGUUGUGUUUGUAAUGCGCCUGGAAUGCACGGGUGCGGAAACGAUCGCUCCCGCCAAUGCGUUAGUGAAUUCACCCCGCCCGCCACUCACGACCUAGGCUGAUGGAA